CCCAGGGGCUCUCAACCUUUUAGCGGUGUUCUGAGUGCACUGCCUGCUUUUCCAGAGGUCUGGGAAACGGAGCAGAGAGGCCCGGAGCUCCGGCCUCGGGUGGCUGGCCAUGCUCAGCCAGGCACCGUGUUGGAAGGAGCUGUCCGUUUCCAGGCAUCUCUUGAAAAGCAUCCUUCCUCACCUCCACCGCUGCCUCACAAAGGGCAAAGUGUGCCCUGAGAUCCCAGGCUCAGUACUGGGUUGCCUAGUGUCAUUUCCUGCAUCGUUUCUGCGGUUCUGUCCGUGUGCUUUGCCAGCUAGAACAAAACAGCGCUGCUAUGGAAACUGCAAACACCAGGCAAUCCUGGCCCCUGCACUUGGCAGCCCAGCCGGGAGAGAGAUAAUGGCUUUUGUUGUUAUCUAUUGGAUGCUGAUGCUCAGUCGCUUGUACCCUCAGGCCCUAACUAGGGACACGCUGACACUGCACCAUCAGUGCUCGGUUGUAAACUUCCCCAGCCUCGUGAUGCAGGCUGGAGAUAACAGUGCAGCCAGGCCUGCUCAUUAUCCUGAUGACAACCGGGGGGCUUUGUACUUUCCGGACAACUUCUGUGGUCUCUUCACUCCCAGGGGGCCUAGAGCUCUCACAAUACCUGAAGGCAGAGGAGAGAACCUUUUGGCUUUGGGUCCAUAA
ensembl:lncRNA